GACGAACGCUGGCGGCGUGCCUAAUACAUGCAAGUCGAACGAACCGCGACUAGGUGCUUGCACUUGGUCAAGGUGAGUGGCGAACGGGUGAGUAACACGUGGGUAACCUACCUCAUAGUGGUGGAUACCAGUCGGCAACGACUGCUACUACCGAUAAGGACAUAGGAUCACAUCAUACAGUAAGGAAGGGUGGCGCAAGCUAUAGAUAAGAAAUGGACCCGCGGUGCAUUAGCUAGUUGGUAGGGUAAAGGCAUACCAAGGCGAUGAUGCAUAGCCGACCUGAGAGGGUGAUCGGCCACAUUGGGACUGAGACACGGCCCAAACUCCUACGGGAGGCAGCAGUAGGGAAUCUUCCGCAAUGGACGCAAGUCUGACGGAGCAACGCCGCGUGAGUGAAGAAGGUCUUCGGAUCGUAAAGCUCUGUUGUUAGAGAAGAACAGCGCAUAGAGUAACUGUUAUGCGUGUGACGGUAUCUAACCAGAAAGCCACGGCUAACUACGUG
rnacentral:rRNA from 1 species